ACCAAUUCUGAAGGAUUAAAAAACUGUUCCUUUAGGUAUAAUGGCAUUGACGCAAGAUUACGUUGUGGUAUAUCCUGAUCAUUUGGCUUUAAAACCAUGUUAUUUGAUCCUGGAAAUGCCUCGUACAUAU
rfam:Capsella rubella cultivar Monte Gargano unplaced genomic scaffold scaffold_3, whole genome shotgun sequence.